rnacentral:rRNA from 1 species
CGUGCAGGCGGCUUGGCAAGCGGGAUGUGAAAGCCCCGGGCUCAACCCGGGAUGUGCAUUCCGAACUGCUUGGCUUGAGUCCGGAAGAGGGUGGUGGAAUUCCUGGUGGAACGGUGAAAUGUGUAGAUAUCAGGAGGAACAUCGGUGGCGAAGGCGACCACCUGGUCCGGUACUGACGCUGAAGCGCGAAAGCGUGGGGAGCAAACA